AGAGUUUGAUUCUGGCUCAGGAUAAACGCUGGCGGCGUGCUUAACACAUUCAAGUCGAACGAAGCGCCGAGUUUGGAGACUUCGGUCAAAGAACGAGGAUGACUUAGUGGCGGACGGGUGAGUAACGCGUGAGCAACCUGCCUGUUAGUGGGGAAUAACGUUUGGAAACGAACGCUAAUACCGCAUAAUACACAGACAACGCAUGUUGAUUGUGUCAAAGAUAUAUUGCUGACAGAUGGGCUCGCGUCCGAUUAGGCAGUUGGUGAGGUAACGGCUCACCAAACCGACGAUCGGUAGCCGGACUGAGAGGUUGAACGGCCACAUUGGAACUGAGAAACGGUCCAG
rnacentral:rRNA from 1 species